ACAACAAACAACGGUGUCACCUUCAAGG
rnacentral:piRNA from 1 species